ACCUGGUUGGCUCAGUUGGCAGAGCGCUCCACUGGAAAGGGAAAGGUCCCUGCUUGGAUACCAGGACCAGGCG
rnacentral:tRNA from 1 species